GGUCACACCCGUUCCCAUCCCGAACACGGAAGUUAAGCCCUCCAGAGCCGAUGGUACUCCGCGGGAAACCGCGUGGGAGAGUAGGUCGCUGCCGGAU
rnacentral:rRNA from 4 species